rnacentral:rRNA from 1 species
UUGACAAUGGGCGCAAGCCUGAUGCAGCGACGCCGCGUGAGGGAUGACGGCCUUCGGGUUGUAAACCUCUUUCAGCACGGAAGAAGCGAAAGUGACGGUACGUGCAGAAGAAGCGCCGGCUAACUACGUGCCAGCAGCCGCGGUAAUACGUAGGGCGCAAGCGUUGUCCGGAAUUAUUGGGCNUAAAGAGCUCGUAGGCGGUUUGUCGCGUCUGCUGUGAAAGCCCGGGGCUUAACCCCGGGUGUGCAGUGGGUACGGGCAGACUUGAGUGCAGUAGGGGAGACUGGAACUCCUGGUGUAGCGGUGAAAUGCGCAGAUAUCAGGAAGAACACCGAUGGCGAAGGCAGGUCUCUGGGCUGUUACUGACGCUGAGGAGCGAAAGCAUGGGGAGCGAACAGGAUUAGAUACCCUGGUAGUCCAUGCCGUAAACGUUGGGCACUAGGUGUGGGGGACAUUCCACGUUUUCCGCGCCGUAGCUAACGCAUUAAGUGCCCCGCCUGGGGAGUACGGCCGCAAGGCUAAAACUCAAAGGAAUUGACGGGGGCCCGCACAAGCGGCGGAGCAUGCGGAUUAAUUCGAUGCAACGCGAAGAACCUUACCAAGGCUUGACAUACACCGGAUCGGCUCAGAGAUGGGUUUUCCUCCUUGUGGGGCUGGUGUACAGGUGGUGCAGGUGUCGNCAGUCGUUCGGAG